GAAGGUGGGAAGAAGGCGAGUGCAGCGGCCACUGCAGAGACCAGCCCCAGCCCUGGGGAGAGCUGCCCGGAAAUGGCUCGUCCCGCUGCUCUGUCUAGCAGUAACGGUCUGUCAGGCUCAGGACACCUGCCCAGAGGUGAGCUUAGUGAGUCUCAACAGUACCGAGAAAGCCUCCUUUCUCCAAGGCUGCAGAGGAAUUCCAGGCGCGGUGGGGCCCAGAGGAGACCCAGGAGCUCCAGGAGUAAAAGGAGAACAAGGACAUCAGGGGAUCCCUGGAAAGGCAGGACCAGUUGGGCCAAAAGG